rnacentral:lncRNA from 1 species
GUCGCAUAUCAAAUGAAAGAACAUAAAGCGUACAUUUCAAAUUUCAAAUUGACGUCUCCCAAAAAUGGGUUGGAUGGGGUCAUUGAGUGCAAAAAAUAAAUGUUCUUUUAAGGUAGGGUUGUUGUAUAUCAAAUGAAAGGUCAUGAUGUGUACAUUGGAAAUAUCAAAUCCCUACCUCCAAAAAUUAGUUGGAUAGGGUUAUUAAGUGCAAAAAUCAAACUUUCUAGAACAUAGAGUUGUUGCAUAUCAAAUGAAAGCUCAU